CUCCAGCCCUGGGGGGCUUGGGCUCUGGGGUUUAGCCGCAGGGCCCCGCGGACCCCUGCUGAGAACCGCUGCCUUAUAGGGUGCUCUCUCCCCUCCCCCACGUCUCACCCUCCCCCCCGUUCCAUUUUCAGGGUUCGUUCCCCCAAGGGGCCAGAUGAGGAGCUCGAUGGGGUGGAUGAGAAAUUCUUCCAGGUGUUGGAACAGCUCAACUCCCAGAAACAGUGGAAGAAGUCGGAGGAUUUUAACCGCAUCACCCUGUACUUCAAGGAGAAACUCAUGGAGAAGGAGUAUCGACUCUCCGCUCUGCCUGCCUUCAAGUACUACACAGCCUGCACCUUCCUGGUCUUCCUCUCCAACUUCCUCAUCCAGAUG
rnacentral:lncRNA from 1 species